rnacentral:rRNA from 1 species
GAUGAACGCUGGCGGCGUGCUUAACACAUGCAAGUCGAACGGUGAAGCAGGAGCUUGCUCUUGUGGAUCAGUGGCGAACGGGUGGGUAACACGUGAGCAACCUGCCCCUGACUCUGGGAUAAGCGCUGGAAACGGCGUCUAAUACUGGAUAUGUGAUGUGACCGCAUGGUCUGCAUCGGGAAAGAAUUUCGGUUGGGGAUGGGCUCGCGGCCUAUCAGCUUGUUGGUGAGGUAAUGGCUCACCAAGGCGUCGACGGGUAGCCGGCCUGAGAGGGUGACCGGCCACACUGGGACUGAGACACGGCCCAGACUCCUACGGGAGGCAGCAGUGGGGAAUAUUGCACAAUGGGCGGAAGCCUGAUGCAGCAACGCCGCGUGAGGGAUGACGGCCUUCGGGUUGUAAACCUCUUUUAGCAGGGAAGAAGCGAAAGUGACGGUACCUGCAGAAAAAGCACCGGCUAACUACGUGCCAGCCGCCGCGGUAA